GACAGAGGUUGCAAACGUUGUUCGGAAUUACUGGGCAUAAAGCGCACGUAGGCGGUCCGUUAAGUCAUGUGUGAAAUCCCCCGGCUCAACCGGGGAAUUGCGCCUGAUACUGGCGGGCUAGAGGUCGAUAGGGGUGAGCGGAACUCCAGGUGGAGCGGUGAAAUGCGUAGAUAUCUGGAGGAACACCGGUGGCGAAGGCGGCAUCCUGGACCGGCAUUGACGCUGAGGCGCGAAAGCCAGGGGAGCAAACGGG
rnacentral:rRNA from 1 species